CACAUCAACACAUAAUCACAAUAAUGCAUCAUUUUCAAUGUAUAGAUAUAUUUUUAAAGGAUAUGUGAGUAAAUCAUAGUUGUGUAUGAGAGGAUGUUUCAAUUCAAAGAGGCAGUUAUUACUAAUGAUAAUGAUCCUUCUUUUUCUUUUCAGAUUUUCCUUUUAAUGAUAAGUGCAAUAAACUAUAGCAACGUAAAGCGAAUUACUGUUAGAUGUGUGAGUUGGAAAUUUAAUUUAAUAGUACUUUGAGAUUGGAGGAAAUUGCUUUUAUAAAAUGAUAUUUAGGAGAAAGGAUAUGACUUUUUUAAAGGACGGGUAUGGAACUGUAAUAUAUGAAUGAAAUUUGGAGAAAUUAAUCGUUGUAUUAUGCAGAUAGGAAACAGAGAUUAAAGAUUAUUAAAUUAUACUAUGACAUGUAAAUGACUUUGGUUAAAUGGAUUUUUCUGGUUUAACGUGAGAUUAAUUGUUGUACGUGUUGUAAGUUAUAUAAUUUUUAAGCAAUUUUUCGAGGAAAUUUAUGCACGAUAAUAAAUAUAUUAGAUUUUAUUCGAUGCAUGAUAUUCCUUCAAUUUCCAUUUUUACAAAAAAAAAAAAAAGAAAUUAUAGUACUUGAUACGAUGGUUGCAUGCCACCAAAUGUUUAAUCGUUAUUAACUGUCGAUAAAGAAUUUCUUAUCCUUGCAACAUAAUAAUUACCCAAGCUUAAUUCAAAUCUAAUGUUAAUCAACAAAGUAGCAAUCGCGCAUAGUGCUACUACUACUGUUACCUCGCAAACUCGAAGUUAUGGUAUCGUACGUAUAAACCAAUAAUUACGAUAAAAUCCAAUCUAGCAUGCAAUGCAUCGUUCAUUAUUCUAAUUACGGUGAGCAAUAUCUAACGUAGGUGUAAAAUUUCACCUAAGUUUCAAAGCGUUGGAUGAUUUAUGGUUACGAGAAUUUUACUAAAAUGCACUUUUAGAACGUUACUCGUCUCGUUAAUAAUUUUUUUGACACGGCAUAAACGACCCUUAUCUUAACUUCAUAAUGUACUAUGACGAGAUCCAUCUUUGAAGAAUGUCUAAUCUGAUCCUAUAAUUUAAAAAUGCUAUGAAAAGAAAUUAGAAUUAUCGAAGUUAAUUUUAACCAUAAAUCAUUUUCAGUUUGCAUUAACCGUGCCAUAACCUACGAUUCAAAAUUCCUGCCAUACAUUCGACUCAAGAGUUAAUUGCAUUAAUAGUCCAAUAAACGAAUUAAUCCUUUCUCCGCUACUCUUUACGACUCGAUGCUUCUAAAUUACAAGAAUCUCAGGAUUAAACCGUGCAACUUACACGGCACGGUUAAUUAAACGACGCGUUUUAUCGUCUGAAUAGAGUCUCCCUGCCGCGUCUCGAACCAAUCCUCCCAUUCUUAUGCAAAACUCGCGCGAUCGAUCCUAUCGAUCGAUGUUAACGAAAUACCGGUACGAAACCUCAAAAAAAAAAAAAAGGCUUGGUCUGUAAUUCAUAAGAGCCGAAACUUGGUCCGGCUAAUUCAGAAAUUGCCCUCCCCCGUAUAAUUAUAAACCGAGUGUCCACCAGUGUAUCAGGCUUUAUUAUCCUAAUUUACGCGCUCCUUAUUGCGCAAUUAGGCGACGUGAUACCGGGAUGAAUUUACGAGGGAGACGUGGAGGGAAAGGUUUCGAGAUGAUUGAAUGAUGGUUCUUGGAAAUGAUCAAAACAUCGUUUACCAGAACGAUUUAACGACUUGCCGGAGGGUUAAUGAUAUAACCAUAAUAAAGAACGAUAAUAAGCUUCGAAUCCAAGCAGGAAGUUGCUCGGUGUAUUAACUACUAAGCUUAUCCUUUAAGCUUUAAUUCCUGGUGCACUUCUCUCGGAGUUAUUCGAUAAUUUUUAAAACAUUAUCCUACUCGCAUCCCUCGAGUAAACCGAUAAAAUUCGAAAUCCAAUAUAUACAACAAUUGAAUCAAUCUCUCCUCCAUCGCGACAAGCCUCGAACCGGCUUUCCCUCGAAUCCAACUGGUGCAAAGGGAACAAGAGAAAAUUUGCAAGUAUCGGUGCUCACCAUCGAAUAUCCAGCGGCCUAUCUCAAGGAGAAUCGCUCAUAAAUAUUUAUCCGGGCGGUAUUAUCGCGAAUACAGGCCUGUCCAAGCGUUCAAGUCUCCGGAAGUCGGGCAUCGAUCCGGCCUUGAUGCACUCGUGGAUCGGUUCAUCCGGUCGGCUUAGCAGUGUGCUUGUUCAGUUUUCACGAGACUCAAAGCGAAUCGGGACUUCGCGUUAAUCCUCUCUCUUUCUCUCUCUCGCCUAGUCAACUCUGUAUAAUCUUAACUAACGAGAAAGCGGCGGGGUUGGAGUAACACACCGGCGAACCUGUGAAGCCCUGCUCUGUGAAGGGAUCGCCGUCCACGUUUCCACGACUCCUUUUUACGAAGCCACGCGGAAGGAUUAACGUCAGGGUGAUUUUCAACGUGGUUGUUGCUCUAAUGCUGGGACGAGACAGACGUGCGUUUCGUCGUACUUUUUUCUUGGUACAUUUUUAUGAUUCUGGAGUCGAGGAAGAUUGAUUUU